AAAGAGUCUGUGGUUACCGCGUGGACACUUUUCUCUACAACGUUGACUCUUGGGAGAAGACAGAUGGCUGCGUCACCUUGGACGCCUGCUUGGGAGGGUCUGAAGGCAGUAUAAAGCUGCCUGCUAGAGAGAGCUCCUUACACAGCUUCUGCCAGCAAGAUGAAGUGCCUCCUGGUCCUCCUCUCCCUCGCUGCCCUUGCAUGGUAAUCCAUGGCUUUUCGGCAGUUUAGAAAUAAGCAAUAUGGCCAACCAUCUCCGUCGUGCUUUAUUUGUAUUACUUGACCUUAGGUCCGUCAGGUCGCAAGAGGAAAGUGAGUGUAACUGUGAAGUUGUCUUGGGGGCCAGAU